CAGCGCCGAGUUAUUACUCCAGACGGAGGCCGCUGUUGGAGACUCAUCUCUAUGGUAUUUGAGACCUCCGUGUAAUCGCAGCAUUAUUGGCGUGGAGCUUGUGUGUGUGUGUUAGGAAUUCGAGGAGUUUGGUGGAUUUCGGGGAAUAAGAAAAAAAAGAAGGACGAAGUAACCUUUCUUUGUUGAGUUGUAUGCGGCUGAUUCGGUUUACGAUUAGAGAGCGUCGAAAUCAGAUGUGGAAGGGGGGAAUUCGUCGUGCUUCACGUUUGGCUUCAGUAUGCGGAGAUUGAAUUCAGUUUUUAUGUCGCGAGCAGAGGAUGUGUGCGUCACUUUCGGUAGUUGCAGGGAUUUUGAGCACUGGAAAUGAGAGUGUGAUUAAUCGGCGUUCGUGGCACUUGCGAGAUGAUUUCGUGGAGGAGUUUGGACUCGAUUGAGGUUUUUGUGGUGUGUUAUCUAAAUCGAAGAUUGUGGGGGUGACAUCAAUUGUAGGCGUUUCUUGGCGGAUUUUUUACUUUCACUUUUCUUUUCUUCCUUGCUGGACUCCAAUUUCGUGCAUCGCCAUUCCUCAGAUGCUUAAUUCGUUGUAGAUGGUUUGUGCAGUUACUGCGUCUAGUUCUACUCUGGGGUAACAUGUUGGAAAUGUGAUAGCUACAAAGUAUAUCAAACCAUGGCCAAAGUACGAUGUAAGUUUAUCCUAAGUAUUUAUACGAAUUACUUAUACUAAUACUACAAAGAUCAAGAAUUACUUUUUUCUAAAAUUGUGGAAAAAAAAUCAAAAAAUAUUUUAAAUUUUAAAUUCAAAGGUACUCAUUUUUUAAAAAUAAAAUAAAAUAAGUGAUAGUAUCUAAUUCCUAACCUCGAAUUAUCCAUAAAAUAAAUAAGUAAACUUCAUUUUAGUUGAUUUAAUCACUUAUUGUUUAUUUGGUAGAGUGAAACAAGAAUGUUGUCAUUUUUGUGUAGUAUGUGUGUGUGUGUGUAUAUAUAUAUAUAUAUAUAAGUUAUAAAAUUAUUAAAUAGGCAGUCCCCCACAAUGCACAAAAGUUAUUUGAAAAUGCAAUGUUUUGAUAGUUUUUGUAAUAGUUCAUGUCAUGUUUCUUAUUCUACCCAUUUGUAGUUGCAAUGCAAUAGAUUUUUGGAUCUGAUGCAUACUUCUAAUAUAAAAUACAAUGUUUUCCGCUUCCACUAACCGAUUCUCUUUAUACUUAUUGAUACAUUAUUGUUAGAAAUAUGAUUAAAAAAUAAAAAAAACAAAACAAAACAACAACUCUCAAGUAGAAACAAACAAGAGCAUGUGUAGAAUGAAAAUUACACCUAGAUCAAUUAAUUAAUUUUCAUUACAUAGAGAAUGGAUGAUUCUGUAUGAAACCAAUAAAUUAUUGUAAGUGCACAUGUGGGUCUGAAAGGGUAAAUUUGUGAGGGGUUUCAACGAUUGGUUACAGCACACAGACUCAAUUUUCUAUUACUGAGAAAAGCAAGAAAAUAGUCAUGUUUUGCAAUGCCAAGUUUGAUCCAUGAGCCUCUCUUUGCUUGAUUACGAAUUAGCCAUUCAGAGUACUGAAGGCUGAUCCUGCCCGUCCAAGUGGAGUCAAGACAGCUAGAAAUUAAAAAAGGAAAAAAGAGGAAGAAAAACCCUAAAAGAGGCCCUUUUCCUUGAUGGUGAUUGAACAAAAACGCGCUUGGUUGGAUGCAGCAGGAUGCUAAAGUUAUUCAGAUAUUUGGGUUGUACCAAAAUAGGUCUACAAACCCGCUAGAAUCAUCUUCAUUUGAAAUUGCACAGAAUAGGCAAUUUCUAUAUAUAUAUAUAUAUAUAUAUUCACACACAAAACCCAUUGGUGGGUACAAGUGUAUAUGUUUGUCAUGGGUAUUAUUUUUCUGCUGUGUGUCGAAAUCAGACACACAUGAUGGGUGUUCCGUAGCAUUCUAGAUUCGAACACACAGGUUUUGUCAUCCAAAUUUGUUACCGAGCAUUUGUUUUUGAGGUACGUUACACACAGCGACAGUUUGAGAACUGGGUUUGUUACAAGUGAGCUGUGGAUUACAAAUUCUACCACGUUUUGCUUGUGAGUAUGAGAUAUUGCUCCCACGUUUCCAUUUCGGAAGGGUUUUUGGAGUCUUUGCUUGUUGACGAAGGAAUAGGGAGGAGGCAGCGUAUAGAGGAGAGGGGCCUCCUGACACCAGAACCUGGCAAAACUCUGGGUUUAGUAAAACCUUGGUGUAUUACGUUUCUGUAAAGGUAGCAAUUACGCACGGACGAUCAGUUGGAAAAUCCAUGGAGAAUGGGGCUUGCUGUGCGACUGGAGAUUUGUACCUUGUAGCGAGCCAUUCAUAUAUGGAUACUGAGAUCUAUUUCUGGUCUUACCUGGACACGUGAACCAGAGUGGAGAUCAAGCCCCUGCUGUUGUUUACAUCUGUUGGUUAGGAAUUUUCAGUUCACAUUGUUGUAUUCAGAAAUGAUAGAUGGUGUCUGUGUAGAUGAUGGUAUUCAAUUUCCGUUCCAUACACAGCUGAACCACUGCCGCUGUUGAGGGCGUCGUUUAGAAGUUUAAUGGAAACCAAGAACCUCAUUUAACGCUCAGAGAGACAAAGCUUAUCCCAAGACAGUUACACGAUGGUCUCACAUGGUUAAAUAUAAAGUGAAUGAAUUCAUUU